UCCUGGAGGCCAGGGGUGUAAUGUCAUGGUUUAUGUCUGUGUCCCCCAGGCCUCAUGAGUUUGCAUUGUGUAUUUGUGAUUGGUUCAUUGUCUAGUGCUUGGAUUAAUGCUGUCAGUGCUCCACCUACAUAGGAGUGGAGCCAUGAUGUGAUGUAAUGGCAAGAAGAAGGUGUGUCUUGCUCUCUUUGCUGGUUCUUCCUUGCUGUUUGCAGCCACCUUGAAGCCCAGGCAUGCCUGCCUGUCUUGGAGUCAACUGAGUAUGGACUGAAACCUCCAAAAACUGGAAAGCAAAGCAUAUGUAUAUCCAUGGUAGCAGUCCAUCAACACCGUGGCUCAAUCAGCCAGAACCCCACAGCCCAGCUCAGCCCGUUUGCUCUGAGGAAACCUAUUCAAGGAGACCUGUCCUCCAGCAGGCUGGGGCUAAAUUCCACAACUCCUCUGAGUCAUCAUCCUUCAAGCCGACUUCAGAGGCUGCCUGAGAGCACCACCCCCAGCCCACACCCACCAGGGACUCAUCACUCCUCUCCUUUGCUUGCCGCUGCUCUGAUGCUAUUUCCAAGCCUGGAUGGCAAAGUUCUGGGUGCUAUUUUGAUCUGGAAGAGCAAGUCUCAGCAUUCCACUGGCUUGAUUACACUGCUCAGCAUGUCUUCACAUGCAGAAGGAUGGGCAGUGUGUCCCUUACAGGUAGUGGGUUGAGGGUGAACGGCACAGGUGAGACA